UAUCAAUAAGCGGAGGAAAAGAAACCAACAGGGAUUGCCUUAGUAACUGCGAGUGAAGCGGCAAAAGCUCAAAUUUGAAAUCUGGCGCUUCUGGCGUCCGAGUUGUAAUUUGGAGAGAUUUCUUCGGAGUGAACACCGGUCCAAGUUCCUUGGAACAGGACGUCACAGAGGGUGAGAAUCCCGUGUCUGGCUGGUUGUUUCAUUCCAUGUGAAGAGUCUUCGACGAGUCGAGUUGUUUGGGAAUGCAGCUCAAAAUGGGUGGUAAAUUUCAUCUAAAGCUAAAUAUUGGCGAGAGACCGAUAGCGCACAAGUAGAGUGAUCGAAAGAUGAAAAGCACUUUGAAAAGAGAGUUAAAAAGUACGUGAAAUUGUUGAAAGGGAAGCGCUUGAGACCAGACUCGAUUUAUGGUGAUCAGCAGUCCUUCUGGGCUGUGCACUUGCCAUUCUUCGGGACAGCAUCGGUUCUGACCGUGUGAUAAAGGUGUUGGGAAUGUGGCUCCUCUCGGGGAGUGUUAUAGCCCAGUGCGUAAUGACACGAGUUGGGACCGAGGACCGCGCUUCGGCUAGGAUGCUGUCAUAAUGGUCUUCAGCGACCCGUCUUGAAACACGGACCAAGGAGUCUAACAUCUAUGCGAGUGUUCGGGUGGAAAACCCUUGCGCGUAAUGAAAGUGAACGGAGGUGGGAACCUUUCGGGGUGCACCAUCGACCGAUCCUGAUGUCUUCGGAUGGAUUUGAGUAAGAGC
rnacentral:rRNA from 1 species